CUGUCAGAUUCUCCAGCUGCCAGCCCCAAGAGUAAUGUAAACCCUUUUGUGAACUUCACUUAUGUGAGGCCCGCAGCCUCGUUCCUUCAAAAGAACAGCCCUGUGUGGUAGCUUGUCAUAUUUGUCAAUUUGCAUGGUGCGAGUUUGAAAUGGUUUUAUUCAGAAAACAUUUGGUUAUCGUCUUAUGGGAUGUAGUUUACUGUGCCUGCCAAUGACCUUUUGUCCACAAUGGACAAAAGGUCAUUUGAUCUGUUGAAUUGUAUUUGAAAUUCUUACUUAAUUACCGUGGA
rnacentral:misc_RNA from 1 species